GACUCGUUAGCUCAGUUGGUCAGAGCGCCGAUACAAGAGAAAAUAAAUGAAACCUUACCUAAUACAUCGGAGGUCGGAGGUUCGAAUCCUUCACGAGUCA